UACGAAGGGGGCUAGCGUUGCUCGGAAUCACUGGGCGUAAAGCGCACGUAGGCGGCUUUCUAAGUCAGGGGGUGAAAUCCUGGAGCUCAACUCCAGAACUGCCUUUGAUACUGGAGUGCUUGAGUCCGGGAGAGGUGAGUGGAACUCCGAGUGUAGAGGUGAAAUUCGUAGAUAUUCGGAAGAACACCAGUGGCGAAGGCGGCUCACUGGCCCGGUACUGACGCUGAUGUGCGAAAGCGUGGGGAGCAAACAGGG
rnacentral:rRNA from 1 species